rnacentral:rRNA from 1 species
UACGGGGGGGGGCGAGCGUUGUUCGGAAUUACUGGGCGUAAAGGGCGCGUAGGCGGUCUGCUAAGUUGGAUGUGAAAACUCUGGGCUUAACCCAGAGCCUGCAUUCAAUACUGACAGGCUAGAGUUCUGGAGGGGAUAGCGGAAUUCCUGGUGUAGCGGUGAAAUGCGUAGAUAUCAGGAGGAACACCGGUGGCGAAGGCGGCUAUCUGGACAGAAACUGACGCUGAGGCGCGAAAGCUAGGGGAGCAAACAGG